UUAUUUUGUCAUUUUAUUCUUCUUUCUCUAAAUUGAGUAGCCGAGCUGCUACACUUGUUCUAUAAAGUAAUGCACUUUAAAAUAAUUAUAAUUCGUAGCUACACUUUAGGUUUUAUAGCAAAUACCCUAUUUGCCGUAAAAUUUCUCAAACCUUAUCCCUUGCCACUCGACUCCUGUUUAUUACACCAAAAUCUUCAAUCACCAUAUCUAAAUUUCUCUACUAAUGGUUGGUCCCAUUUCUGUUUUCUUUCUUUCUUCUUCUGUUAGUUAACAGUUACAUUUGUCAUUCUUCAUUCCUCUAUUAACAAAUACUAACACACUUUUUCAGUUUUUUUUCUUAAAUUAGGACACUGAGUAUGUGGACUACACAGACAGGCAGACAACCCAGGCAGUCCAUAACCAAAACUUAGGCCUCCAUAUUAGCAAGUCCCGGACAAUACCUUUUUGUUUAUAAAGGAUGUGAAAAGUGAGAGUUUUUGGCCAAUAUUGUCCCUUAUCUAUGAGGGUAGGUCUAUUUUGGUCCCUCAAAUAUAACCUCGAGCAUAUUUAGUCCCUUAAGUAUGCUAAAGUGGAGCACAUUUAGUCUCACUGACAUAAUGUGUUCAAAAAUUAACGGUGUUAUCCAACUCUGAUUCAUGAAGCAAAUCUUCUGCUCUGAAGCAAAACGUUUCAUUAACCUUGAAAAUAUCCCCUUCUGUGCUCGUUUUCAAUGAGAAAAAUGGCACUGUAUAGCUGCUGUAAAAUAAUAGUCGAA
rnacentral:lncRNA from 1 species